rnacentral:lncRNA from 1 species
AUCCAAAAGUGGCUAGCUGGGCUUAGCUUUAGGCUUGUAUGUUGGAAUGUGCUUGAUAUGCAUUCUGAAUGCAUGUUUCCCUCUCUGCUCCUCCGUCUCUGUGUUAAGGGUCCACCAGGGAUGAAGGGUGACGCUGGUCUUCCAGGGGAAGCAGCUGACAUGAAGAACAUUGAAGUCAUGUUUGAAGACUAUGGCAUAAGGCUGCCCUUGCUGAAGGCACUGAUUGACAGGCUGCUGCAGGACGGCAUGGUGGAGCUUCUGCAGGACCUAACCACCUCUAGGAGAGUCAAUGAGAAGGAGAAACACGGCUCCAACAUUAUCACUGACUACACAAGAACUGUAAAGUAUGAGAUCUCCAAGGAGCCUCUGACAGAGAUGGACACCAUAGAGGAGGCAGUUGACUCUGACUUAGACAGACAGCUACCAGAACCUAACUCUGAUGCUUUGGAUGAAACGGCGGAGGCCCCCACAUUCUGGAGCCUCACCACUCUUAAUGGUCUUAAAGGGGUCCAAGACGUGGGGAGGAUAGAGAGCACCUCUAAGGGGACAGAGGGGACACUGACAGUGGACGAGGAGUUCAGUGAAGCUCCCUCGCCCAAGUUGACUUUAUCAAACUCAACAUUUAACAACACUACGUCUGAAGAGAGGGUCUCUGAGGUACCAGGGGCAAUAGUAGAAACUGUUCUCCUCAGUGGGGAAGACUCCUUGAAGAAAAAGAAGAGUCGAGAACGGAAGGGCAAGGGACAGAAAGGACGACAUAAGAGGCAAAGAGAACGCCUGAUGAGUACGGAGGAGGAGGAGGAGGAAUUAUACGAUGGGGAAGAGUACAGUUAUGAAUAUGAGGAUUCCACAGAUGAUCCCUUACUGUCAAUGGAAAAGCAAGGGGAGUUUGAAAUCACAACAGAAAGCACACUACAUGGAAUGAGCAAAGAGAGUGGCCUGACAACUUUAGGUCCAUAUCCAUCCCAGUCACCGGGUGACAGUGAAAAGAAGGGGGAAUUCAUCACACCUAUCCUUCCCAGCACAACAGAAGAAACAGAGAAGGAUUCCACAGAUGAUCCCUUACUGUCAAUGGAAAAUCAAGGGGAGUUUGAAAUCACAACAGAAAGCACACUACAUGGAAUGAGCAAAGAGAGUGGCCUGACAACUUUAGGUCCAUAUCCAUCCCAGUCACCGGGUGACAGUGAAAAGAAGGGGGAAUUCAUCACACCUAUCCUUCCCAGCACAACAGAAGAAACAGAGAAGGGGAGACCAUCUCAAGUCCGGGUCAGAGUAAGGAAGAGCGUCCCCUGGCCAGAUUACAUGGCAUACAUGCCAGGAACUGCAGGAGGAAGAAAUCGAUACCAUGACGGACAAGAAUCACAGUCGGGAGCAAGAGGUCCCAAGAAAUUACAUAGACAGAACCAAGAAAACAGAGACCCUCAGCCUGACCAUGAAUCCUAUACAGAGAGGGAGGUCGACUAUGAAACAGAAAGAGACUGGGAGACACCAACAGAGAUGGAGGGAGAGAGAGAAGAACCCAUAGCAGCAGAGGAAGAGACACCAUGGGAAAGACAUAGAGAGAGGGAGAUGGUAGAAAAGAAAGGAAAAGAGACGGAAGGAGAGAUAUACCAUGAUGCAGAAAGAGAGGGAGAGGAGGAGAGAAGUGGCGACUCUGAGUGGGACACGGAGGAAGACAGUGAAUACGAGAGGGAGAGAGAGAGGGAAAGGAUGGAGAUGGAGAGAGAGAGGAUGGAGCUUGAAAAAGAGAGGGAAGCAGAGCUGGAGUUGCAGAGGGAGAAAAUAGAGAGGGAGAGACAACUAGAGAGGGAGAACAUGGAAAAGGAGAG